AUUAUCCCCCGCCGAUGGAAUCGGGAGGGGGAUAUAGUUUUGGCGUUGUCCUUCCGUCCGUCCGUCCGUCCAUCCGUCCGUCCGAAUUUCGUUUCCGGAGUAGUUCUCUGCAACUAAUGGCUGGAAGUCAACGAAACUUUAUGGGAAUGUUGAUCAGCAUGUGAAGUUGUGCACCUGGGUAUUUUCGUCUGGAUAUUUUUAGUAUUUUUAGAGUUAUUGCCCUUGACUUAGUAAAACGUCCGAAUUUCGUUUCCGAGUAGUUCUCUGCAACUAAUGGCUGGAAUUCAACGAAACUUUAUGGGAAUGUUGAUCAGCAUGUGAAGUUGUGCACCUGGGUAUUUUCGUCUGGAUAUUUUUAGUAUUUUUAGAGUUAUUGCCCUUGACUUAGUAAAAACGUCCGAAUUUCGUUUCCGGAGUAGUUCUCUGCAACUAAUGGCUGGAAUUCAACGAAACUUUAUGGAAUGUUCAUCAGCAUGUGAAGUUGUGCACCUGGGUAUUUUCUUCUGGAUAUUUUUAGUAUUUUUAGAGUUAUUGCCCUUGACUUAGUAAAAUUUUGUAAUUUUCAACUUGUGUCGCAUGUAACUCAAAAAGUAUUUGACUAGAGUCAUGAAACUUUACAGGAAUUUUGAUCAGUAUGUGUAGUUGUGUACCUGGGUAUUUUCAUCUGGAUAUUUUUAGCAUUUUUAGAGUUAUUGCCUUGACUUAGUAAAAUUUUGUAAUUUUCAACUUGUGUCGCAUGUAACUCAAAAAGUGUUUGACCUAGAGUCAUGAAACUUUACAGGAAUGUUGAUCAGUAUGUGUAGUUGUGCACCUGGGUAUUUUCGUCCGGAUAUUUUUACUAUUUUUAGAGUUAUUGCCCUUGACUUAAAAAAUGUUUGCAAUUUUCAACAUGUGUCGCAUGUAACUCAAAAAGGAUUUGACAUAGAGUCAUUUAACCUUAUUGGAAAGUUGCUCAGCAUAUUUAGUUUGUUCCUGGGGUUUCGCUUGUGGAUUUAUCCAGUAUUUGUAGAGUUAUUUCCCUUGACUUAGUAAAAACUGUUUCAUUAUGUUGUUAUUUGAUCCUUGAGUGCUUGAGUUAGAAUCAACCAACUUUACAGGAAUAAUGAUCAACAUCACUAAAUUACGAAUAAUGAAGUCUGGAGAUUAAGAUGU